GACGAACGCUGGCGGCGUGCCUAAUACAUGCAAGUAGAACGCACAGUUUAUACCGUAGCUCGCUACACAAUAGACCGUGAGUUGCGAACGGCUGAGUUACGCGUAGGUAACCUGCCAGGUAGCGGGGGAUAACUAUUGGAAACGAUAGCUAAUACCGCAUACUAUUGAUUAUUUCCUGGUAUUUGUUUGAAAGAUGUCAUUGCAUCACUAACAGAUGGACCUGCGUUGUAUUAGCUAGUAGGUGAGGUAACGGCUCACCGCGGCGAGGAUACAUAGCCGACCUGAGAGGGUGAGCCGCCACACUGGGACUGAGACACGGCCCGGAGUCCUACGAGAGGCAGAAGGACGGAAUCUUCGGCAAUGGACGAAAGUGUGACCGUGCGACGCCGCGUGAGUGAAGAAGGUUUCCGGAUCGUAAAACUCUGUUAUAAGAGAAGAACGGGUGUGCGAGUGGAAAGGGCACACUGUGACGGUAUCUGACCAGAAAGGGACGGCUAACUACGUG
rnacentral:rRNA from 1 species